rnacentral:rRNA from 1 species
CACUAACACGUGGAUAACUUGCCCUUGGGUCCGGGAUAACCCCUGAGAAAUUGGGGACAAUACCGGAUAGGGCAUCCAUAGCUGGAAUGCGCGAUGUCCAAAAGCUGAGGCGCCCAAGGAUAGGUCUGCGGCCGAUUAGGUUGUUGUUGAUGUAAUGGAUCAACAAGCCUGCAAUCGGUACGGGUUGUGAGAGCAAGAGCCCGGAGAUGGGUUCUGAGAAAAGAACCCAGGUCCUACGGGACGCAUCAGGCGCGAAAACUUUACAACGUGCGAAAGCACGAUAAGGGAACUCUGAGUGCCUCCUAUGGAGGCUGUUCAGGUGUCUAAAAAGCACUUGAAGUAAGGGCUGGGUAAGACCGGUGCCAGCCGCCGCGGUAACACCGGCAGCCCAAGUGGUAGCCACGAUUAUUGGGUCUAAAGCGUCCGUAGCCGGCCAGGUAAGUUCUUUGGGAAAUUUAACCGCUCAACGGUUAAGCUUUCAGGGAAUACUGCUUGGCUCGGGCACCGGGAGAGGUCAGAGGUACUUCAAGGGUAGGGGUGAAAUCCGUUAAUCCUUGAGGGACCACCAGUAGCGAAGGCGUCUGACCAGACCGGGU